CGCCUCUUGUAUGAAUAGGAGGUCUAGCCUGCCCACUGAAAAUUAAAGGGCCGCGGUAUUUUGACCGUGCAAAGGUAGCAUAAUCAUUAGUCUUCUAAUUAAAGGCUGGAAUGAAUGGUUGGACGAGGUAUUAGCUGUCUCUUUGGAAUUAAUUUGAAUUUAACUUUCUAGUGAAAAGGCUGGAAUAAUAUUGGAGGACGAGAAGACCCUAUAGAGCUUUAUAUUUGUCUUUAUUUUAAUUUAUUUGGUAGGAGUGUAAUUUUGUAGGGAGAAUAUUUCGUUGGGGUGACGGGAAGAUAAGAUAAACUCUUCUUAAAAUAAAACACGAAUGCGUGAUUUAGUUGAUCCAUUAUUAAUGAUUAAAAGACUAAGUUACCUUAGGGAUAACAGCGUAAUCUUUUUUGAGAGUUCUAAUCGACAAAAAGGGUUGCGACCUCGAUGUUGGACUAAGGGUUAUUCUUGGGUGUAGCAGUUCAAGGUUUAGGUCUGUUCGACCUUUGAAUCCUUACGUGAUC
rnacentral:rRNA from 1 species